AGUGAACGCUGGCGGUAGGCCUAACACAUGCAAGUCGAACGGCAGCACAGUAAGAGCUUGCUCUUACGGGUGGCGAGUGGCGGACGGGUGAGGAAUACAUCGGAAUCUACUUUUUCGUGGGGGAUAACGUAGGGAAACUUACGCUAAUACCGCAUACUACCUACGGGUGAAAGCAGGGGAUCUUCGUACCUUGCGCGAUUGAAUGAGCCGAUGUCGGAUUAGCUAGUUGGCGGGGUAAAGGCCCACCAAGGCGACGAUCCGUAGCUGGUCUGAGAGGAUGAUCAGCCACACUGGAACUGAGACACGGUCCAGACUCCUACGGGAGGCAGCAGUGGGGAAUAUUGGACAAUGGGCGAAAGCCUGAUCCAGCCAUACCGCGUGGGUGAAGAAGGCCUUCGGGUUGUAAAGCCCUUUUGUUGGGAAAGAAAAGCAGCAGGUUAAUACCCCGCUGUUCUGACGGUACCCAAAGAAUAAGCACCGGCUAACUUCGUG
rnacentral:rRNA from 1 species